ensembl:lncRNA
CACGGAUUCCUAUGCUUCAGCAUGUAGGAAAACCUGUGGCAGGGAUUUCAUUUAGAAGAAAAAUAAUGCACCAUUGAGAUCUUUCUAAUAACCUCCACCCACUCCCCCUGGGCCUUUCCAUUCCACAGGCACACCACAAGCUGCAGACGAGUGAUCCUUUGGGCACCACACAAACACAGGACAAGUGUAGGAGUGCCCUGGAUGGCAACAUAAUAUAAACAGAGAUAAGGGCAGCAAAACACGAGCGAGCAAAUGAAAAAGAACUCUGAUGACCGGAAAAAUCCUGGCUUUCUUCCUAGAAAAGCUGUGGUACCACCUGAACCACAGAGGCCUCCCAAAGCAGAGAACAACAUCCACGCUGGCUAAACAAAUCGAGCGAGAACUUCAUCAUCACGACAAAACCAAAGACACCCAGGAAAUAAAAUUUGAGAAAGUUUAUUGCUUCACUAUGGCAAAUGCGUUCUCCAAACAACAAAGGGGACUCUGACCACUUUUACUGACAUCCAGACAUCUCAGAAGUGGUUGAGAGGAUGUUUCUCGGCUUGCAGAGGGUCAUGCAAUGCUCUCAUUGAAAUGUGCAGCUGAAUUCCCACCAAUGUCAUGAGGAGGAAGAGUAAGGAGUACUCCUACCAAAAAUCUCAGCUUUUUCACACUACGAAAGACAACCCAAAGUCUCUCCAGCUACCACAGUCACUUUUCAAAGCGCCACCACAGCAACAAACUUGUUUAUCAAAACACCCCAGAAACCCAUGACAGCUGCCUUCAUCGGUGCCCAGAGCUGACUGCAUCUCACCCAAAUGCUCUCCUCUCAUGAUUAAGUUAAUCACCAUGUGCUUUCUCCUCUUUCCUUUCUCUUCCACGGGUUGCCUAGGCAGGGAGCAGCCCCAGCAGACAAGCUCCAGGAGGUGCAGGUCAGGUCUGCACAACCCUCUCCUUAACUCUACGUCUCCAGUAUCACCAUGUUAUCUGCUGGAAUCUCCCCUCCCAGCGUUUUUCUCCACCAGCACCACAAAACUCUCCUUUUGCUUUGAUGAAGAAUGAAAACCAGACAUGGCAUUUCUGGCUUUUUCACGAGGAAACCUUCCAUUGCUGUUUCCUGCCAGCCCCCGUUGUCCUACUGGGGUGGUGGAUUGGAUGUGGUGUUCAGGGAUGUGAUUUAGCAGAGGGUUGUUAGAGUUAGGGUAGUAUGGUUAGGUGGCAGUUGGACUUGAUGAUCUUUAAGGUCUUUUCCAACCUGAGCGAUUCUAUGAUUCUAUGAUUCUAUUUACACGUACCUAUUUCAGAGGUACAGGCUGCCCUCACAAGAGUGGAAAUUUAGGUAAGAAUUGUGGAGCAAGGACACUGUGUGCAAUGCAACGGGGAUCUAGAUAGGGUAAAAAUUAAGACUAUAAAUAAUUGUACAGAUGUGUUUCUAUACUAUAUAUGACAAAUUCUGCAGAACAGGCAGUAGUCCCGAGCAUGAAAUUGUCCAGAAGAAGAAAGCAAGGGAAGGAGAAGGAGACAAAAGGAAAAGAUUUAUAAAAGAAAGGGGCAUUUAAAACUACAGUGAUGGAGCAGCCUUUAGUGAAACUUAAACACCAGCCUGCAGUAAAGUCUGUGUAAUAGGAUCUCCCAGCUUUGAGGGAGGUUUCGGCUCACCUUCCCAGGCCUAUCUCUUCGACCUUGCCUCUGUCACAUAAACGAACAGAAAUGAACAUAUGUUUUUAAGUUUGUUUCUAAAAUAACCAGAGCGAAGCAGAAAUACUGCGCUGCUCACACCAGGCUCUCCUCGGGGGAAAGCGGAGAGAAAAACCAUGCGUGCCCGUCACACCAGAUGAAGUGCUACGGCGACAAGGGUUUAUACAAAACAGAGCUAAAGAAUGGUCUGUGGGAUGCCAGCUGCAGCAGUGCCACGGCUCUCAGCCCAGCCUUGCUGGUCCCUCAGGCAUACACCACUCCUGUCGAGUGGAGGUCACCAGGCAACUGGUGGGGUCGUGUCCACCACGGUGGGGUUGUGUCAUGUCCCACAACGUGCAGGGUUGAGGGUGGCCAAAGUGGGUGGGCUGUGCAUAGGCUGCAUGCAGGGGCAGGAUAUUGCUGCCUUUGGCUUUGCUGGCCCUUCCAAGACAGAGGUCGGUGGGCCCCAGGUGCUGAGGAGGUGCUUCUGUGCUGCAAAGGAUGCUAGAGCAGCCCAAGGGUUGCCCUGAUAGGCUUCUUCCUCAAAAGCAAGGAUCCUGGAGUUUUAAUCACAAUAGCAAUAACAACAAUAAAAAAAGGUAUCGAGAAGUAAAGAGACAUGAGUGGCAAGGAACAAGCAUAGGCAGGAGAUUAAGUGUAGAUGAAUUCAGCUGCUUCCCAAGGACACAAGAGAGAACAAAAAGAGUAUGCUCACAUUUCAUUUUGAUUGAUCCCAACAAAAGUAAUUUCUGUUUCAAAAUCAAAACAUGAAGGAAAGCGCCAGAAUGAAGAGAUCUGGUCUUAAAGGUGCUUCUUAUUAUAUCUUAUUGCACAAGUUUAUAGCCCCAGGGCUAUCCCUUUGUGCCACAGGGAGGGAGACAAGGAGAGCACAGGGCUCAGGCAGCCUCUUAGUCCCAGUCUGUCCCCACCCCAAGCCACAUACAACUCAAAGCAAAUCCUAUGACCCAGCAUCACUGAGUCCUGUAAUUCCUCUCCAUAUUUCUUAUAUUGUUGCAACUACACCUUUACCUGCAAAAGCUAACUGUAACUGUAUCUACAUUCAUUUUUCUCCUUUCUGCCCCAAACUUUGAGUCCUGCAGAGCCUUUUCAUUUCACAGAGCUGCUUCAGGCUAACAUUCUCCAUGGAAGAAAGAGGGCAUGUCCACAACAAAUAGAACAAUGUCAGCUUGGGUUUUCGUGCCCCUCUCCCUGAAAUUCAGACACACAGGCUAUUCAGUAAUUAUUAUUAUGUUGGCAAAAGCAUUCUCUCAUUUGUCAAUAUGGAGACUUGAUAGUUUUCAGGAAGGACAGUGAUAGGACAAGGAGGAGUGGUUUUAAACUGAGGCAGGGGAGGUUUAGGUUAGAUAUUAGGAGGAAGUUUUUCACACAGAGGGUGGUGACGCACUGGAACAGGUUGCCCAAGGAGGC